rnacentral:rRNA from 1 species
CUGCAUAAGCAGUUAUCUCAAUGUGAAUUCAUAGCAUUGUGAGGCGAACCGGGGGAACUGAAACAUCUAAGUACCCCGAGGAAGAGAAAUCAACCGAGAUUCCGGCAGUAGCGGCGAGCGAAACCGGAUUAGCCCUUAAGCUAAUCUUGCGUUAGGUGAACAUGCUGGAAAGCAUGGCAAUAAAGGGUGAUAGCCCCGUAACCAACAACGCUUUAUCAGUGAAAUCGAGUAGGACGGGACACGUGUUAUCCUGUCUGAAUAUGGGGGGACCAUCCUCCAAGGCUAAAUACUCCUGACUGACCGAUAGUGAACCAGUACCGUGAGGGAAAGGCGAAAAGUACCCCUGUGAGGGGAGUGAAAUAGAACCUGAAACCGUGUACGUACAAGCAGUAGGAGCAGGCUUGUCCUGUGACUGCGUACCUUUUGUAUAAUGGGUCAGCGACUUAAUUUUAGUAGCAAGGUUAACCAUCUAGGGGAGCCGUAGGGAAACCGAGUCUUAACUGGGCGUCAUAGUUGCUAGGAUUAGACCCGAAACCGAGUGAUCUAGCCAUGGGCAGGUUGAAGAUUGAGUAACAUCAAUUGGAGGACCGAACCGACUAAUGUUGAAAAAUUAGCGGAUGACUUGUGGCUAGGGGUGAAAGGCCAAUCAAACUCGGAGAUAGCUGGUUCUCCCCGAAAGCUAUUUAGGUAGCGCCUCGGAUGAAUACUACUGGGGGUAGAGCACUGUUAAGGCUAGGGGGUCAUCCCGACUUACCAACCCUUUGCAAACUCCGAAUACCAGUAAGUACUAUCCGGGAGACACACGGCGGGUGCUAACGUCCGUCGUGAAGAGGGAAACAACCCAGACCGCCAGCUAAGGUCCCAAAGUUAUAGCUAAGUGGGAAACGAUGUGGGAAGGCUCAGACAGCCAGGAUGUUGGCUUAGAAGCAGCCAUCAUUUAAAGAAAGCGUAAUAGCUCACUGGUCGAGUCGGCCUGCGCGGAAGAUUUAACGGGGCUAAGCUAUACACCGAAGCUGCGGCAAUGUGCUUUGCACAUUGGGUAGGGGAGCGUUCUGUAAGCCGUCGAAGGUGCAUUGUAAAGUGUGCUGGAGGUAUCAGAAGUGAGAAUGCUGACAUGAGUAACGACAAAGGGAGUGAAAAACUCCCUCGCCGGAAGACCAAGGGUUCCUGUCCAACGUUAAUCGGGGCAGGGUGAGUCGACCCCUAAGGCGAGGCCGAAAGGCGUAGUCGAUGGGAAACGGGUUAAUAUUCCCGUACUUCUUACUAUUGCGAUGGGGGGACGGAGAAGGCUAG